rnacentral:rRNA from 1 species
AGAACGAACGCUGGCGGCAGGCUUAACACAUGCAAGUCGAGCGCCCCGCAAGGGGAGCGGCAGACGGGUGAGUAACGCGUGGGAACCUACCCAAUUCUACGGAACAACUGAGGGAAACUUCAGCUAAUACCGCAUACGCCCGAGAGGGGAAAGCGGGGGACUCGGCAAGAGCCUCGCGCGAUUGGGUUGGCCGAUGUCCGAUUAGCUAGUUGGUGAGGUAAAGGCUCACCAAGGCGAUGAUCGGUAGCUGGUCUGAGAGGAUGAUCAGCCACACUGGGACUGAGACACGGCCCAGACUCCUACGGGAGGCAGCAGGUGGGUAAGUUUGGACAGUGGGGGCAACCGUGACUCC